rnacentral:rRNA from 1 species
GAUGAACGCUGGCGGCGUGCCUAAUACAUGCAAGUCGAGCGAACAGACGAGGAGCUUGCUCCUCUGACGUUAGCGGCGGACGGGUGAGUAACACGUGGAUAACCUACCUAUAAGACUGGGAUAACUUCGGGAAACCGGAGCUAAUACCGGAUAAUAUAUUGAACCGCAUGGUUCAAUAGUGAAAGACGGUUUUGCUGUCACUUAUAGAUGGAUCCGCGCCGCAUUAGCUAGUUGGUAAGGUAACGGCUUACCAAGGCAACGAUGCGUAGCCGACCUGAGAGGGUGAUCGGCCACACUGGAACUGAGACACGGUCCAGACUCCUACGGGAGGCAGCAGUAGGGAAUCUUCCGCAAUGGGCGAAAGCCCGACGGAGCAACGCCGCGUGAGUGGUGAAGGUCUUCGGAUCGUAAAACUCUGUUAUUAGGGAAGAACAAAUGUGUAAGUAACUAUGCACGUCUUGACGGUACCUAAUCAGAAAGCCACGGCUAACUACGUG